rnacentral:rRNA from 1 species
AUGCCCAUUGCCCCCCACAUCAUUCUGCGCCCCUUUUGCAUUAGCCCCGUUGGCCGCCGUCUUGGACGGCAUGCCCGGUUCGGCUUCCGCGCGAGCUCCGCCGAGGCAGUUAACUGGGAGAAGAAGCAGGAGAUCAGCAACACGAGGGAUAAGAAAGCCGCGGAGGACACCGGGUUGAAGGCUCUGUAUGAUGAUGGGUUCGGGAGCGUCACCAUGAAGGAUUACCUAGAGGCGGUUAGGAACAUGCCCAAGGACGACGGCGGGCCACCUCGAUGGUUCUGCCCCGUCGAGUGCGGCCGGCCGGUGGUUGCUAAUCCACCUCUGCUGCUGUUUUUGCCAGGAACCGAUGGUAUUGGAAUGGAACUCAUUUUGCAUCACAAAUCUUUGGCCAUGGUAUUUGAGGUGCGCAGCUUACACAUACCAGUGCAUGAUCGUACGCCAUUUGAAGGGCUACUACAAAUUGUGGAAGAAUGUAUCAAAUAUGAGAAAGCUUUGUCACCAAACAGACCAAUAUUUGUAAUUGGAGAUUCUCUUGGUGGAUGCUUGGCACUUCCGGUGGCAGCUCGCAGUCCAAACAGUGAUUUGGUUCUUGUACUAGUAAAUCCAGCAAUGUCAUGUGCCAAAACUACCGUACAAGCAAAGUUGCCUCUUUUGGAACUAAUGCCAAGCAACCUUUCAAUUAUACAUCCGCACCUUCUAAGAUGUUUGAUUGGUGAACCCCUUAAGAUGGCCAUGGUGAGCAUUCAAAAUGACCCUUCUCUUCAAGGGGCUCUGCCAAUGUUUUCACAAACUCUUAGCUCUAUGCUAACUUUAACUUCUGAAAUUGGACAUAUCAUAGAAAUGGAUACUGUUGUGUGGAGGCUCAAGCUUCUUAAGUCAGGUGCAGCCUAUGCCAACUCUCGUCUUCAUGCAGUACAAGCGGAAGUUCUGCUUCUUGCCAGUGGCAAUGAGAACCUUCCGCCAAGUGGAGAAGCAGAUCGACUGUUUAAGACGCUGAAAAAUUGCAAAGUUAGAUACUUUAGGAACCGGGGUCACACACUACUAAUGGAGCAAGAUUUUAAUCUGCUAACUGUCAUAAAAGGGGUCAACAUGUAUCGCCAAGGCAAAAAACGGGACAUUGUGACCGAUUUCCUUCCACCUACAUUUGCUGAGUUCAAGAAAUCAACUGAAGAUUUCAAACAACUCAAUGAAUUACUAAGCCCAGUUAUGUUGUCUACUCUGGAGACUGGAAAAAUUGUUCGUGGACUCACCGGUAUUCCUGACAAAGGUCCUAUCCUGUUUGUGGGUCAUCACCAACUCCUAGGGAUAGAGGUACCUUCACUUUUUCAAGGGUUCUUGAAAGAGAAGAAAAUAACUAUCCGAGCAUUGUCCAACCCAGUAUUUUUUGUUGGAAACAAUUGGGCUUUGCGUCAGGAGUUGUCUCUAUUCGAUGUAGUAUCCGUAUAUGGCGGAGUACCAGUCAGUCCAAUCAAUAUGUAUAAGUUACUUGAGAAAAAUGAAUCCGUUCUCCUCUAUCCAGGCGGUGCGCGGGAAGUUCUGCAUCGAAAGGGUGAAGGCUACCGGUGUUUUUGGUCAGAUAAACAAGAAUUUAUAAGAAUGGCUGCCAGAUUUGGAGUUACUAUCAUACCAUUUGGUUGUGUCGGAGAAGAUGACAUUUUGGAGAUAGCUAUAGAUUACAAUGAUCAAAAGAACAUCCCUUAUCUCAGAGACUGGAUAAAAUCAUUCAAUGCAGAUCUUCCAAGUGUAAGAGAUACUGUGAUUGGGGAGGAUGGGAACCAGGUCUUGCAUCUCCCUGUCGUUCUCCCUAAAAUACCAGGUCGCUUGUACUUCCUGUUUGGCAAGCCAAUCGAGACGAAAGGAAUGGACAAUCUCCUGAUGGACAAGAAACUAGCAAACGAUCUCUAUCUACACACAAAAUCUGAAGUGGGGAACUUAGUGUCUUAUCUUAAGAGGAAGAGAGAAGAAGAUCCUUACCGAAGUAUAAUGCGUCGCACUUUGUACCGGGCCAUUUUGGGUGCUUCAGCUCAAGUCCCUACUUUCAAGCCCUGA